CCGAAGUACCUCGACUGGAUGAAAGGGCAGAGAAGGCAGAGGCAGACGAGCACUCCGGUUCGCGCACCAUCCGGAGUGGGUCCAAAAAAGGAUCCACGGAAGAGCUGGGUCACCCCGAGGUGCAAAUCUGGCUGCGGGCGCCGACCCUGGCUCUUUCUUGGGAGACCAGCUCUCCAACUCACAGGGCAUCUCCUCUGUUCCCUGCACCUGGCCGGGCUGCCCUCGCCCCGCCCCACAGGGCCACUCUGGGAAGCGCUGGAAGAAGGCGUCGUGGGGAACGCAGGUGGCAGGAGCAACGAUCUGAGCGCUGCGAGGCCCCAGCCCGCUCCCCGGGUCUCCUCGCGCGGGCACAGCGUGCUGCCCCGGGUACCCUUAGACACGUGUCCUCUCCCUAUCCAGCUCGAGCUGGAGGCCCGAGGGGGCUCUGCGCGAAAGCCCCGAACCCUGGUAAUCUCUGCCUGCAGCGGGAAGGCGCUCAGCAGAAACCCCAGCUUGAGACCGUGG
ensembl:lncRNA